GGCUCGAGGAACCCUGCGGGAAGCCGGGAGGACCACCUUCCAAGGCUAAAUACGCAAGUAGCUACCGAUAGUGCAGAAGUACCGUGAGGGAAAGGUGAAAAGGACCCCGAGAGGGGAGUGAAAGAGAAUCUGAAACCGUGGACCUACAAGCGAUCAGAGGGUGGGGCAACCCGCCUGAUGGUGUGCCUAUUGCAUAAUGAACCGGCGAGUUACUGUAUGCAGCGAGGUUAAGGCAUAGGAGUGCUGGAGCCGCAGGGAAACCGAGUCUCAAAUGGGCGAUUCAGUUGCAUGUAGUAGACCCGAAGCUGAGUGAUCUAUCCAUGGCCAGGCUGAAGCGCUGGUAACACAGCGUGGAGGGCCGAACGGUAGUCCGUUGAAAAGGGCACUGAUGAGCUGUGGAUAGGAGUGAAAGGCUAAACAAACUCAGAGAUAGCUGGUACUCCCCGAAAUAGCUUUAGGGUUAGCCUCGCGUUGAGUGUCGCGGAGGUAGAGCACUGGAUGGACUAGGGGUCUUUACGGGCUACCAAACCCAACCAAACUCCGAAUGCCGUGACAUGGUGCACGGGAGUGAGACUGCGGGCGAUAAAGUUCGCGGUCGAGAGGGGAACAGCCCAGACCGUUGGCUAAGGUCUCAGAAGUCGAGCUAAGUGGAAAAGGAAGUGCGACGGCCCAGACAGCCAGGAGGUUGGCUUAGAAGCAGCCAUGCCUUGAAAGAGUGCGUAACAGCUCACUGGUCGAGUCGUCGUGCGCUGAUAAUACACCGAGGCUUAAGCUCGAAACGGUGUGAGGGGUAGGGGAGCAUUCCGUAUGCCGAAGAAGGGGCAAUCCGUGAGGGGCCCUGGAGGUGGCGGAAGGGAGGAUGCCGGUAUGAGUAACGAAAAGACAGGUGAAAAACCUGUCCGCCGAAAGCCUAAGGUUUCCUGGGUAAAGGUAAUCUGCCCAGGGUUAGUCGGCCCCUAAGGCGAGGCCGAAAGGCGUAGUCGAUGGGAAACGGGUUCAUAUUCCCGUACCUCUGACAGUAGAUACCGAAGGGAUGACGCGUGAGGUGAAGCCCGGCCAGAGAAUGGUAGUUCUGGUCCAAGGAGCGAGCCGUUGAGGGUGGCAGGGAAAUCCGCCAUCUGAGGUAAGGCUUCUAAGGCGAGCGUAGCGGGAGCGAGGCGAAGCGGGGGGCGUCAAGGCGCUGAAAAACAAUCUCUAAGGUGUGAUCGUUGGGGACCGUACUGGAAACCGACACAGGUGGGCGAGAAGAAUAUUCUCAGGCGCUCGAGUGAUUCCGCAUCAAGGAACUCGGCAAUCUAGACACGUAACUUCGGGAGAAGUGUCGCCCCUGAAAGGUCCGCAAGGGCUUGGAGGGGGUUGCAGAGAAAUGGCCCAAACGACUGUUUAACAAAAACACAGGUCUCUGCGAAUCUCCAAAGAGAGGUAUAGGGACUGACACCUGCCCGGUGCCGGAAGGUUAAGAGGAGUAAACGGCGGCCGUAACUAUAACGGUCCUAAGGUAGCGAAAUUCCUUGUCGGGUAAGUUCCGACCUGCACGAAAGGUGUAACGAGUUGGGCGCUGUCUCGAUGUGGAGCUCGGUGAAAUUGUAGUAUCGGGGAAGGUGCCGAUUACCCAUGGUUAGACGGAAAGACCCUGUGAACCUUUACUGUAACCUGGCAUGGGGACUUGACUUCUCAUGUGUAGGAUAGGUGGGAGGCUGUGAGGGCGGGGCGUCAGCUUCGCCGGAGCCGUUGGUGAAAUACCACCCUUGAUAGAUUAGGUUUCUAACUCCACUGGUGAAACCCGGUGGUGGACAGUGUCAGGCGGGCGGUUUGACUGGGGCGGUCGCCUCCUAAAAGGUAACGGAGGUGCGCGAAGGUUUCCUCGCGCUGGUUGGAAAUCAGCGUACGAGUGUAAAGGCAUAAGGGAGCCUGACUGUGAGACGUACAUGUCGAGCAGGCGCGAAAGCGGGUCUUAGUGAUCUGGCGGUGGUGAGUGGAAGCGCCGUCAUUGGCACCUCGAUGUCGGCUCAUCGCAUCCUGGGGCUGGAGCAGGUCCCAAGGGUUUGGCUGUUCGCCAAUUAAAGCGGUACGUGAGCUGGGUUCAGAACGUCGCGAGACAGUUCGGUCCCUAUCUGCCAUGGGCGUUGGUUGCUUGAGAGGAGCUGUUCCUAGUACGAGAGGACCGGAAUGGACGAACCUCUGGUGUACCAGUUAUCCUGCCAAGGGUAUGCGCUGGGUAGCCAAGUUCGGAAGGGAUAACCGCUGAAAGCAUCUAAGUGGGAAACCCACCUCAAGAUGAGGCAACCCUUGG
rnacentral:rRNA from 1 species